rnacentral:rRNA from 1 species
UACGUAGGUGACAAGCGUUUGUUCGGAUUUACUGGGCGUAAAGGGCGCGUAGGCGGCAAUUCAAGUCAUCUGUGAAAUCUCCGGGCUUAACUCGGAACGGUCAGAUGAUACUGCUUUGCUAGAGUGCGGGAAGGGGCAAUCGGAAUUCUUGGUGUAGCGGUGAAAUGCGUAGAUAUCAAGAGGAACACCUGAGGUGAAGACGGGUUGCUGGGCCGACACUGACGUGAAGCGCGAAAGCGUGGGGAGCAAACAGG